rnacentral:rRNA from 1 species
GUCUAUGGCCAUGCCACCCUGAACAAGCCCGAUCCCAUCUGAUCUUGGAAGCUAAGCAGGGUCGGGCCUGGUUAGUAUUUGGAUGAAAGACUACCUAGGAAGACCAGUGCUGCAGGCA